CAUUAAGUGGCUGAUUUAAAGCAAUGAUCUCUUAAAUCACACUAUAGUAAAAUUUUGCUCUUAAUGA
rnacentral:tRNA from 1 species